UGCUAAUACCCCACUAGGUGGAUUGGUCGCAUGACGAAUUCAUUAAAGGUGGCUUUGCUACCACUCAUGGAUAGCCUCGCGGCGUAUUAGCUAGUUGGUAAGGUAAUGGCUUACCAAGGCAGUGAUACGUAGCCGACUUGAGAGGGUGAUCGGCCACACUGGGACUGAGACACGGCCCAG
rnacentral:rRNA from 1 species